rnacentral:tRNA from 1 species
AAUAGGAUGGCUGAAGAGUUAAGGUGGUAAACUGUAAAUUUAUUUAUGAAUUGUUUGAUUCUCCUAUUA